UCCAGAUGAGGGGGUUUAAAUCACCUCCAAGUCACUAGGCUGAAAACCGCUGUCAUUUCUCCUGGAACAAAUACUCUCUACCUUGCUCUAGCACCACAUUAUUAAAUGGAGAUAACAAUAUUUAUGCCCUUCCCAGGGGGUAACAGGGAUGGACAGCUCUCCUGGGUUGGGCCUGCUUGGAUGAGGAAGUGACAAGCAGUGGGGAAACAGGGAUUUAUGUGUGAGUGAACAGCAGGCAGCUGUCUCCUCGGCCACGGCUGCCACCGGGAACUACAAGGCAACGUGAAGCCUGUGCUAGAAAAACACCUCCUGGGCCGGUCCUGCAAGCAGCCAAGAUGCGGUUAAAGAUUCCAAUUCUGAUGGGAUCCCAUGUCUCCUAGGUUACAGCUGAGGACUGUGUUUUCCUUUAUUACAACAGAAAAUGUGUGUUCCCCAGGGACUGUUCAAACAUCUGUAUGAGGUCUGUGUCCCAAAUGACCCUUUCUGAGACCCUCCACGACCAGCCUCCAGGGAAGCCUGUGACCCAGGGAGAAGAAGGCUCACUCUACUGAGCCACUGCCAAGCUUUGGAGUCAGUGUAACUGAGCCCCAUCAUCGGCAUCAGUGCUUCAUAGCUGUGGGAACUCAGGCAAGUCAUUCAGCCUCUCAGAUUCCUCACCUAUAAAAUAAAAAUAACAAAACCCAGUCCACUGCAUCAAGCCGUGAGGCUUCAAUGUGACAACGCAUUUCAAAUGUCUGUCGCAUUAAAAGUUAAUUCUUGUUUCCUAAGCCAGGAAAGCAGAUAUGUAGCAUAAAGACAAUGCAAGAUGUUCUUUGAAGAAGUAACCUUACAGGACUUGAAAGAAAUAAACUUGAGAUAAGAGUUGAAACCUAAAAUGUACCAGAGGGGCAUCUCCUUGGGUGCAAGUAUCCAAGCUCAGGACUGAUUCUCCUUCCAUUCAUUAGAGCCCACCAGCGCCUCAGUGCAGGUGUGCUUCCCUCUGACCAGACUGGUUUUUAUGCAGCUAUUUGGGGAGAUGAGAGCUGAUUUACUGCUGGUGAGAAACUCCAUCACUUGAAGGCUGAAAUGACUCUGGGGGCUCAAGAGCAACUUUUCAGCUGAAAGGCUUGCGGACCGUCAGGGUGAAAGUACAGCCUGGGGCUGAGGCAGCCAUCAGGGACAAAGGGAGGAAUUCAGCACAAUUGGCCACACAGUUCUAAAUGGUGAGAAGGACGUGCUGCUACGGACACAUGCAGUCGGGAGGUCCAGGUGCAAGAACACACAAUUAACGAGGCCGAAAGGGCUGGGAAUGACAUUUUACCUGCCAUUCUGGAUUUUGACAGCUGACCCCUGGCCAGGGCCGAGGCAGCUGGCCCGUGUGAAAUGCUGCCACACCAUCUGAGGUCAUCUCUUGUCACAGUGUUCCAAAAGAAACCAAGGUGGCAUUUUCUGUUAUGAACCCACACAAGGUGUAACUUAAAAGGAGCCUCCAAGGCCUACAGAAAGGACUGUAACUUUUAGAAACAACCAAAAUAACCAAUAAUUAUAAAUUUAGCAAAUUACCCUAUAGAACAUUGGACAGCCACUAACAAUAAUAAGUGAAAGACUGCAGAAUUACAGAAGGUGCUUAUUUUAUAAGGCAACAUAUUAAAAUGAUACAAACCGUAUGAUUUCAGCUAUACAAAGUGUCUGCAUGUGAGACGAGAUCAAAUAUUGAGCAUGUAUCAUAUACUGAGCUGUCUUCAAUCAUAAUUUUAUUUAACCCUACAACAGCUAGAGAUAUUUUUAUUAUUCCCAUUUUGUAGAUGAUAAAAAUGAAACUCAGAGAGGCUGAAUAACUUGUCCAAGGGUAGUAUGUUUCAGACCCAUGACUUUAACAAAGUCAGCAUCCUUCUGGUAUAUCUCAGCCCCAGAUGCCCCAUUCUUCCUCUUCUCUUCAGUAUCUGUCCUCCGACAAGAAUGCUGUAAUGGACAUUUACACAUCAGUAUAAAUUUAAGCCAUUACUUGUCUCUGGGUGUUUAAGAGUAAAAUGAAAAGGGAAGUUCCCUUUCUAAUGAAUCUGAGGCUUUAAUAAGCAGCUAAAGGAGUCCAGCGCCCCUCCAUUCUUGUAGCCAGUCCUAGCUGGAUGGCUAUUUGGGAAUCAGGAAGGCAGGGAACCUAAGUUCUCUAUUUCCUGCCUAGACACUGGCCAUGAGGCCAUGCUCUCUAUCCUGGAAAGCCCUUAAUACCAUAGGACGGAAGGUAUUUUCUGCCUGAAAGAUAUCAUUAUUGAACAAAAGGGGAGGGAAAACAGAAAAAGGGCAUCAAAGCCUAAACAAAUAACAUCAGCAUGAAAUCUUUAAUGAAUGGCUCAUCCAAUGCGAUCUACUGAAAUCCAGAAGGUUUAGUAAAAGAUGCCUUAAACCCAGUUUAUACUGCAAAUCGACCAUGAAGAAAAGUCAACACCAAGUUAAUCCCAUUUAAUAAUUCAGUUUCGGGAUGUUAAAACAUAUUUCUCUCUUGGAGUUUCAGCAUGUAUGUCUGAUAACAGGGCAACCAAGAAGCACACUCAAAAAAAGAGAGCAGUAUUCUUUUAGUAACUAUACUGUACUAUUAGCGACUUGCAAGAGGUAGCAGUUAGUUCUUCCUGAUCCCUUACUUUAUCUCCCAAAUCCCUUCUUUUCUCCCUGACCUCCCCCGAGAGAGGGAAAUUUUAAGCCUGGCUUUGGAGCCUAGCCUUGACCCAGUGUGACUGUGGGGUCACUGUUUCUGACACCUAGGCCUGGCUGCUCAAGAAUCUUGGGUGGGAUAAGAGCCAUUGGGUCAGGAGACUCUUUCUCAGACCCUUUUGGGAAGAGUCAGUAUCAUGGUGCUUCUGAUCUCACUAGACACCUUGCAGAGCAUGCCCCCAACGGGUGGUCCCAGGCCAACUCCUUCACCUGUCCAAUCCUCAGAACCCCUACAACUCUCAGCUGACAUCCUGAGCAUUCGCCAAAUCAUCUUGAGCUUGGAGCUGACCAGAGCCUGCCAUCAAUUAAAAUAUGCUCACAACCUUAGGCCUGAUGUGUGACCGGUUUACUUAACUCCCCGCUUAACUUUCUGGAAAGGGCUUUCUCAUCUCUAAUGUUCACUUGGAUUGGGGCAGUUUCCAAGACUUUCCUCAACAGAGUUGCUCAGACUCGCAAGAAAAUGCCUAACUCAUCCUUCUUUCCCAUCAAAACCUUGAGCUGACCCAAGUUAAGGGCUCUUCUUUCUCCCAAGCCUCCCUUACUUUUACUACAGAGAAAACUCUAGAGUGAAAGUGGUUCUCAUCAGCUGUUCUCAGAAGAGCAGCACUUUAUGCAUACAUCAAGCUGGAGGACCAACGGUCAAGUCAUAACUGACCACAAAACAGCCUCAGCUCCUCCCUGAGGCUCCCUGCUUCCCUGCUCCCCAUGACAGCUCCCUGGAUGCUUUUGCAGUGCUUGCAACUGCACAGAAGAGAAAUUAAAAGCAAAUUUGCAUCACCUUUGCUCACUGCUAGAGCGCUCAGUUUUAAUUUGCAUUUUAUUUGCAGAGCACUUGCAUAUAAUAUUGUAGAAAUGCCGAGAACUCUCCCUUCCCCCUUUUCACCCUGCCUGCUUCUCCUCAUUCAUGAUUCCCAGGAUGCCUGUGAACCCAGGUAUAUUACAGAGGGACUUAGCACACUGGGGAGCUAAAGUAGAGAAACUCCAGGUUGCAUCUAAGGGCUAGAGGAUCUGAGGGGCAGGCGUUUGACAGCAGUAGGCUCAAUCUGUAAUGAAAUGGAGCCCAGAUAUCUACUUUCCUUAUUUAUGAAAUCAUAGGAAAAUUCUCCUCACUGCCCACUGUGCAAAUAUGCAUGAUGCUGACACAAAACCACCAACUCUCAGGACCGGCUUAACACAAUUCCAAACCUGGUGAGAACCCGUGGGGCAGCUAUACUGUGCCAUCUGUGGAAACCCCUGAUGGUCAUUUUAAUAUCCCUUCCCCUUUAACACGUGAACUUUCCACUGCUCUGGUUCUAUUGGGUGUUACACCCACCUGCCUCUCGUCCCACCUGGCAUCUAUAUGGUUGAAUACCUGACUCCAGAGCCCCCCAUCCCUGCACAACAUUUGGCUUACACCAAAACUAGCCUGAGUCCAAGAUUACACUCCCGACAACAGACACACACACACACACUUCUCUGCCAGUAUAAUACUAUAACACAUUAUGAUUUCUGUAAGACCUAACGUUUACUAACAUCACACACACAGAGGACAAGGAGCUGGGAAAUGCACUGCAUCAUGCCAAGCUAACGUUCCCGCUUACUCAAUGCCCAUUCCAAGAAGUGCCCUUCUCCCUGUUUACCCAGACAGGCAGCUUCCAAUCUGAGGAAAUUCGGUGUUAAAAAAACAAACAAACAAAAAGGUGAGAAUGCUCUGCUAAAUAUGGUCCUCCAGUGUCAAAAAUGACAGCCAGGUUCCAAGAUGUACUUUUAAAAGAAAACAAAAUCAAGCAAUGAGGAUAGUGAACACAGAAA